UUAUAAUUCCUUCCUCAGCCAAGGCCACCUUUGACGCCAUCUCCAAGACUUACAGCUACCUGACCCCUGAUCUGUGGAAGGAGACAAUCUUCACAAAGUCUCCCUACCAGGAGUUCACUGACCAUCUGGCCAAGACUCACACCAGGGUGUCUGUGCAGAGGGGCCAGGCUGUGCAGGCCGCUGCCUCCUAAACAUUUUGUAUAGGGAAUCGUUGAAUAAACGUUCUGGAACACCA